GCUGGCGGCAUGCCUAACACAUGCAAGUCGAACGGAAACGACAGAAAUAAUCACUUCGGUGUGCAUUUCUGGGCGUCGAGUGGCGGACGGGUGAGUAACGCGUAGGUAUCUACCUUAUAGUGGGGGACAACUCGGGGAAACUCGAGCUAAUACCGCAUAAGCCCUAUGGGGGAAAGCGGGGGAUCUUCGGACCUCGUGCUAUUAGAUGAGCCUGCGUCGGAUUAGCUUGUUGGUGGGGUAAAGGCCUACCAAGGCGACGAUCCGUAGCUGGUCUGAGAGGAUGAUCAGCCACACUGGGACUGAGACACGGCCCAGACUCCUACGGGAGGCAGCAGUGGGGAAUAUUGGACAAUGGGCGCAAGCCUGAUCCAACAAUGCCGCGUGUGUGAAGAA
rnacentral:rRNA from 1 species